rnacentral:rRNA from 1 species
CAAUUAUUGGGGCCGUAAAGGGCUCGCAGGCGGUUUCUUAAGUCUGAUGUGAAAGCCCCCGGCUCAACCGGGGAGGGUCAUUGGAAACUGGGAAACUUGAGUGCAGAAGAGGAGAGUGGAAUUCCACGUGUAGCGGUGAAAUGCGUAGAGAUGUGGAGGAACACCAGUGGCGAAGGCGACUCUCUGGUCUGUAACUGACGCUGAGGAGCGAAAGCGUGGGGAGCGAACAGGAUUAGAUACCCUGGUAGUCCACGCCGUAAACGAUGAGUGCUAAGUGUUAGGGGGUUUCCGCCCCUUAGUGCUGCAGCUAACGCAUUAAGCACUCCGCCUGGGGAGUACGGUCGCAAGACUGAAACUCAAAGGAAUUGACGGGGGCCCGCACAAGCGGUGGAGCAUGUGGUUUAAUUCGAAGCAACGCGAAGAACCUUACCAGGUCUUGACAUCCUCUGACAACCCUAGAGAUAGGGCUUUCCCUUCGGGGACAGAGUGACAGGUGGUGCAUGGUUGUCGUCAGCUCGUGUCGUGAGAUGUUGGGUUAAGUCCCGCAACGAGCGCAACCCUUGAUCUUAGUUGCCAGCAUUCAGUUGGGCACUCUAAGGUGACUGCCGGUGACAAACCGGAGGAAGGUGGGGAUGACGUCAAAUCAUCAUGCCCCUUAUGACCUGGGCUACACACGUGCUACAAUGGACAGAACAAAGGGCUGCGAGACCGCAAGGUUUAGCCAAUCCCACAAAUCUGUUCUCAGUUCGGAUCGCAGUCUGCAACUCGACUGCGUGAAGCUGGAAUCGCUAGUAAUCGCGGAUCAACAUGCGCGGGGGGAAAAAACCUUUCCCGGGGCCUUGUACACACCGCCCGUCACACCACGAGAGUUUGCAACACCCGAAGUCGGUGAGGUAACCUUUAUGGAGCCAGCCGCCGAAGGUGGGGCAGAUGAUUGGGUGAUAAAAAAAACGGGGCCCCAACAAAACA